rnacentral:tRNA from 1 species
GCUCUAUAAGCUCUGGCGGUAGAGCACCUCACAUUUAAUCAGGCCGUCCCUCGUUCGACUCGCGAUUAGACCUCCA